rnacentral:sRNA from 1 species
GGGCUGCGGGGGCGAGGGGGGAGGCCAAAAUGGCGCGUCUCUGCGAGUAACCGAGGAUGCGGAUUCAGCUGGGGCUCGCCGGCUGCUUGUCUGGAAACGGAGUGCAUGUGACCGCUGGGUGAGCGACCCGCGCUUGCAUCUGUGUAGGUUGAGUCAGCUCAUCAGCGAUGGCAGUGUGGUCUGCGCUGAAGCACUCUGGGACCAUGUCACCAUGGACGACCAGGAGCUGGGCUUCAAAGCUGGGGACGUCAUCGAAGUGAUGGAUGCCACCAACAGAGAGUGGUGGUGGGGCCGGGUCGCCGAUGGCGAGGGCUGGUUUCCAGCCAGCUUCGUUCGGCUGAGGGUGAAUCAGGACGAGCCCACGGAUGACGACGCCCCUCGGGCCGGGAACAGCGGAGCGGAGGACGGCGGGGCGGAGGCGCAGAGCAGCAAGGACCAGAUGCGGACCAACGUCAUCAACGAGAUCCUCAGCACUGAGCGGGACUACAUCAAGCACCUGCGCGACAUCUGCGAGGUGAGGCCCGGCCGGCGGGCGGUGACUGGGGACCCGGUCGGGGGAGGCCUAACCACGUCCGCCCGCAGGGCUACGUCCGGCAGUGCCGCAAGCGCGCAGACAUGUUCAGCGAGGAGCAGCUGCGUACCAUCUUCGGGAACAUCGAGGACAUCUACCGCUGCCAGAAGGCCUUCGUGAAGGCCCUGGAGCAGAGGUUCAACCGCGAGCGCCCACACC